rnacentral:rRNA from 1 species
GGACCCGCACAAGCGGUGGAACAUGUGGUUUAAUUCGAAGCAACGCGAAAACCUUACCAGGACUUGACAUCUAGGGAACCUUGCCGAAAGGCAGGGGUGCUCUUCGGAGAACCCUAAGACAGGUGGUGCACGGUUGUCGUCAGCUCGUGUCGUGAGAUGUUGGGUUAAGUCCCGCAACGAGCGCAACCCUCGUCGUUAGUUGCAGAUAUCGGUAUACUGAUAUUUUGCUCUCUAGCGAGACCGCCGGUGAUAAACCGGAGGAAGGUGAGGACGACGUCAAAUCAUCAUGCCCCUUAUGUUCUGGGCUACACACGUGUUACAAUGGCCGGUACAACGAGCAGCUAGCCCGCGAGGGUAUGCAAAACUCUUAAACCCGGUCUCAGUUCGGAUCGGAGUCUGCAACUCGACUCCGUGAAGUCGGAAUCGCUAGUAAACGCAGAUCAGCAUGCUG